rnacentral:rRNA from 1 species
AGUCGUUGGGUCCCUUGAGGACUUAGUGACGCAGCUAACGCAAUAAGUAGACCGCCUGGGGAGUACGGCCGCAAGGUUAAAACUCAAAUGAAUUGACGGGGGCCCGCACAAGCGGUGGAGCAUGUGGUUUAAUUCGAUGCAACGCGAAGAACCUUACCUGGUCUUGACAUAUCUAGAAUCCUGCAGAGAUGCGGGAGUGCCUUCGGGAAUUAGAAUACAGGUGCUGCAUGGCUGUCGUCAGCUCGUGUCGUGAGAUGUUGGGUUAAGUCCCGCAACGAGCGCAACCCUUGUCCUUAGUUACCAGCGGGUUAAGCCGGGAACUCUAAGGAUACUGCCAGUGACAAACUGGAGGAAGGCGGGGACGACGUCAAGUCAUCAUGGCCCUUACGACCAGGGCUACACACGUGCUACAAUGGUAGGUACAGAGGGCAGCUACACAGCGAUGUGAUGCGAAUCUCAAAAAGCCUAUCGUAGUCCAGAUUGGAGUCUGCAACUCGACUCCAUGAAGUAGGAAUCGCUAGUAAUCGCGGAUCAGAAUGCCGCGGUGAAUACGUUCCCGGGCCUUGUACACACCGCC